UGUGAUAGCUGAUUAUAGUGGCAGAAUUGAUAAGGCAGGGUUGGGGGACAGUACCAGAGUGCACCUCUCUCUGGGGUAGUGCUGAAAGAUGUGACAUCCCAGCGCCUCUCAAUCUCCCUUCCCAGAUCUCAGCUGGAUCAUUGGUUCUUUGCACCAGUCCAAUAUUGAGGGAUGCCGUAGCAGCGCCAUUCUCAGCUAAGCACAGAUCUGAGGGGAGCUUUUACUUUUCCAGGAUGUUACCUCCAAAACCAAUCCUCUGCACCCCACAGAGCUUUUAGCACCAAGCAGAUGGGCUCUGAAUAAACUCAUCAGAGAUCAAGGCAAACAGCACAGGUGAGAAGCAGUGGUGGAGUGGGGAAAUGCAGAUUCUUGCCUUGUGAUGUAGCUCCUUUCUUAUUGAGGUGGCAGACGAUGAGGGACUUCCUGGCCAUAUUAAUGUGUAGAAUGCCUCUAAGCCACACAGGUACAAAGUGAGGGUGGAAACAUUAUUUCUAGCCCUUGGAACUGAUAGAAAAAUACUCCUGACAAAGAAUACAGGGAAUACUGCUGGUGGGACUCAGUAUAAGGUCACUUUGCUGGAAAGUAACAGAGAAUAAAUAAAAUUGAUUGAGUGCCUAUUAUGUGCUUGAAAUCACUUUACAUGCUGGGGCCACAGCAGUUGUCAAAAUUGUUGGAAAUCUCUGCCCUCAUGGAGCUCAGAGUCUAGGGGAUUUUUAAAAAUCACAGGCUGGGCAGAUACUGAAGCUGGCUUUGGGGCCAUUCGGAACUAAAGACUUGAAUUCUAACAAGAUUUCUGUGAUUCAGUUUCUUGCUGUGUCUUGGAGUCAUUUCCUCCAAGCACCUUCUGUCUCUACCUCUGUCAAGAAGAGGACAAAAUAGCCACCAUCCACAUUCUUGUCCCCAGACUGAUGAAGAAGAUGAUAAAAGGGAGGCUUUAGUUGGUAAGCAGAAAGGCACCAUGUAAGUGACAGGCUUACAUCUUGUAUGAAAUCAAGUGGGCAAGAAAGCUUCUGCUCAGGUGGGUACAGCCCCAAGGAGGCUGAUAGGUGAGCACUCUUAGGAACAUGGGCUUGCAGACUUCCCAGUGAAUGCUUCCUUGGGCUGUCAUUUGAACCUAAGAAGAAAGCACAGUUCAAGAAAGAUGAACACAUGUAGCCAACCUGAACUGAAACCAAGAAGGAAAGGAUCAGUCAAAUAGCUGUCUCCUCUGGGCUUGGCUGCCUGUCCUUGGAGAUAAUACUGGCACGUAGCAAGAACUUCCACCUGCAGCAUCCACAGCACAUCUCCAUGGGCCUUAGCAAGAUGCUAUGCAACACGGCUCUUUUCCAGUAUCCUAAUUUUCUGUUCAUAACAUGUUGGGUCUUUGGGAAUCACCAUUAUAAUCAUCAUAAUGUGUUGGGUCUUUGGGAAUUACUGUCAUGAUCAUCAUCAUCACCACCACCACCACCACCAACAUCAGUUUUCCUGGUCUCAUCUUCAUGAUCCUGUUUCAUUUCUUACUACUUCAAACAUUCUUUUUUCCUUCCCUAUGCCUGGAACAUCCUCUGCUCAUUUCUAAUCCCAGAUCUUUGCUUCAGCUGUGGCUCCCUGCACUCCCUGCCUGGGGAAUGCCCCAUGUACCCCCUUUUUCUUGCUAAAAUAUUACACACCUUCAAGACCAUCUCAAGCCCCCCCUUUCAGGAAGCUCUCCUCUAUCUACUCAUGCCCUCCGGUACCUGAGUAUUUGCACAAUAUUAGAACUUAAACAUUCAUCAUUUUAGUCUACAUUCCAGCAACUCUGUAAGGUUGGAAUCAUUUCCUCCAUUUUAUCGAUGAGAUAACAGGUUCAGAGAGGCCGGGUAUUGCCCCAGGAGGAAGGAGCUGGAGCCCCCACAGCUGUGUCUAUUCUACUCUGCCUUGGUGUGCUUGCUUUCCCAGGAGCACACCAGAUGUUGAGAGCAGUAGUUCUCAAACUUCAGGGUGCAUGUACAUUACCAGGGACUGUUUGGCAGACGUUCUGGGGUGGGGAACAAACAUCUGUGUGUGGUUCACCAACGGUCCCUGGUGACUAUGGUUUUAUGGCUGGUCCUGUAGCCAUUUGAGAACCGUUGCCUUCAGAGGUGCACGUAGUCCCAUAACUGAAGAUGUGGCUCCCUGAGGCUCCUGGGAAGCCAACCGCCUCCCCAGACCUACAGAAUGGGAAUGGAAAUCUCCGGGUGUGGGGGUGGGGGCUGGAGGGGGUGGGCCUGGGAAUCUCUAGCUAAGAGCCUCAGGGGUUUUUUAUCAUCUGGCAAGUUUGGGAAAGCUGACUGAGAGUCAGGCCCAUCCAAUUAGCACUUAAUUGUAUCCUGCUUUAUCUUCUUCCCCAAUUAGUUCUUCUGCAUCAGUUAAGCUCCUUGGAGGCCCAGACAACAGCACUUAAUUCAGCAUUGCCCUGAGAGCUGGCAUGGUGCUGGCUAGGUGACUGGCAUUAUGGAAAACUGACUGCAUCUGCUUUAGGAAGAGAGGCAUGUCCAGAGUGGAAAUUCUGGAAGCUCCUUGCAAAACUAAUACCUGGGCUUCUGCACCUCCCCAGCUUGAUGUCUGCUCUUAUCCCUCAUCUCUGCAAAGCCAGGUGCUUCCUCUUGCUUAAAGACCAGCUCAAGGCUCUCUUAUUCCAAGAACUGACUCCAUUACCUCCAGCUAGAUAUAAGCCCAUGGGUCUGUGGAUCCUUCUGAUGUGAAUUUACCUGGAUUUCUGUUUUUCACGGACAGAGGGCUUCAGGAAAGCUCCUGGCCUGACAUGAUGCUAGGCACAUAGUAUUGCUCUUUCCUUCCUACAUCCUCUUCUAGGGAGGGCAUCUUAUCCACCUUGAACAUUCCUACCAUGGAAAACAGUGGCUUGCACAUAGCACAAGGUCAGUUAAUAUUUUGGAUUCCUACAUAAGUCUCAGAGAUGUUAAUAGGAAUUACCAUCUUGUUGCAAUGAAUGUGAGCAAGUAUGUGUUGUGCACAUAAAUUAUCCCACUCCCGCCAAAGGACUAUGUUACUCUUUUUCAAUUACCCAAGCAACUACUCCAGUGCCUUAUGCAUGAUUACCUUCUCUAAGUAUUUUCUUUCUAAAUUAAUACAAUUAUUAACUUCUCAGGGUGUGAACUGUAAAGGGGAAAAUGUGUGCUUCUCUGUUUAAAACAUUAGUAUCUUUAUUUUAAAUCUACUCCAGACUUGCCCAGACUCCUUCACUACUCAGAGUCUCUGAGCAUCGGCUUCCUUAACAUUCAAAAUGGAAAUGAUAAUAAAAACUUUGCACAUCUCUAAAAAUCUCUGAAAAAAAAAAUUUGUCACAUUGAACACAUAAAGCAAGCACUGGAUAAAUUGUAGCUGCAUGGUAUAGUACAGACAACUUGAGACAUAGAUGGAAGGCAGAGCCUAUAUUUUAUUCCUGCCAAACAAAAAUUAAAACAAAGGCAUUAUAAGAACCCAGUGUUGGUGACAUUUGUGAUGGAACAGGCACACUUAUUUUGGAGGCCUGUUUAGCAAUGCUUACCAGGAGUCAUAAAUAUUUUCAUAUACUUUUACCACCGCACAGCAGUUCUAAGAAUUACUACAGGAGAAUGAUUUUUAGAGAGGAACAAGUUAAAUAUAGGCAUCAGUGUAAUUUACAAAGGUGAAAACAAAAAGUAACCUAAAUGCACAUGAAUGGGAGCAAGGUUACAUAAAUUACAGUGCAACAAUGUAAUGGAAUAUCUCACAGCAAUUAAGAAGGCUAAAGACAAAUCCCAGGUAGAAACAUUUAGUGAUUGAAAAUAAUAAGUGUAAUGGUAAAACACAAUUUUAUGUAUACUUUGAUUAAAAUGAUUCAAAAUGAUAUAUUUACUUACAGCCGUGAAGAAAAGAAUAAAGACAUGAACAUGUUUGCUGUGUUAUAUUAGUGAA
rnacentral:lncRNA from 1 species